AGGCGUGUAGCUCAGUGGCAGAGCGCUGUCUUUACAUGGCAGAGGUCGGGGGUUCGAUCCCUUCUGCGCCUACCA
rnacentral:tRNA from 1 species